CGGACGGGUGGGUAACGCGUGGGUAACCUGCCUUGUACAGGGGGAUAACAGUUGGAAACGGCUGCUAAUACCGCAUAAGCGCACGGCAUCGCAUGAUGCAGUGUGAAAAACUCCGGUGGUAUAAGAUGGACCCGCGUUGGAUUAGCUAGUUGGUGAGGUAACGGCCCACCAAGGCGACGAUCCAUAGCCGACCUGAGAGGGUGACCGGCCACAUUGGGACUGAGACACGGCCCAA
rnacentral:rRNA from 1 species